CAGUUUUUUCUGAUAAACAAAAAGCAUAACUUCCUUAAUCAAUCUUGCCAUCAAUGUGUUUCAACCACUAUAAAUUUGCCGAAACGGCAUUUGGACAAUUUUCGAUUUACUUUCGCUCAAUUGGUAAUUUGGCUAGGGCCAAUGCCUUAACACUUCCGUUUGAAGUCAACGCUUUCUUUUUGCCAAUUGUUUUGCCUUCGUUUAUGAUUUAUGGCCUGACCAUUUGUCAAACGAAAUCAUAUUUUUACACCACGUUCUGCUUGACAGCGUUGGCGUUAGCGUCAGCGUCGACGCCGCAGUUAGCGUCAACGUCGCAGCAGGCCAAAGCCCGAUUAAAUUGACGCCAAAUGCGACACGAGGCAAAGCAACUGGACAGUGGCACAGUUGCAAGAUUUAAGUUGGCAACAAGUUGUGAGCGCGAAAGUUAAGCAACAUGCAAAAAAGAAAACGAUGGAGGAAAAUUCAAAGCAAAACACGAGAAACGCCAAUUAAAAGGAAAAGCGAAAAUAAAUGUGUGUGUGUGUGGAAAAUCGAGCAAUGUGCAGCAAGAGAAACGAGCAAAAUAAAUGCGUUCAAUGCACCCAGGUGAGCUUACUGGAAAAAGGCAGUAAUGGGCGUGGCGCUAGCUUAUUGCCUAGUUGAAGAUAGAGGGAAGAAAGAGGCGACAAUGAAAGAGGCUUCAACUGUCGAUUGCCUGCUGACUGUCUCCGUCUCUCACUCUCUAUGUCUGCCCACCUCUACUUUUUUGUUUCCCCCCAUCGUGACUCAUGCUGCAAACGGGCAACAAGCAAAUGCUUUGCAUACAGAAAACGUUAAAAGUAUAUACCUCAAAACUUGGUAACUACCAACUGCCAACAUGUAAUUUCUGUUGUUGCGGAAGUCGUAGGUGCAACAUACCAAUAAGAAACUAUUUACGGAAAGCUUCAGAGGAUUGUCAACGAUAUUUAAUAAAUGCCGGAAGAGAUCACAGGACACCUAAGAACUUUAACAGGAGUUUCUAAUAAAUUAAAGUUGUUACACCCGCUAUCCAUAUGUAAAGGGUUUAAUUAAAAUUAAAUAGAGAGUAUCUCCCAUUAGGACUCGACUGUUGUUUUCAUACUUGUUUCAUACACAUCUAAAUAAUCAAAAUAGAAAUAAGAAACUUACGUACUACUCGGAAGAAAUCAGAGGAAUGUCAACGAUCUACAUCCAACAAUUGCCGGAAGACUUCUCACUCAAUGGAAAGAUCUUUAUCCAAUAAAUGCCGGAAGUCACAUACAAUGCUGAAACAUUUCAGGAUACAUAAAAUGUGGAAAUAUUUGUUAAGUUUCUCGUUUAGAUCUCCAGCAAUUGCCAUGGAACUAACGUAAAUUAUAAUAAAGAUUUUUGCUAACCAUAUGAAAAUAACUGCACAGAGAAUGCAAAGUGGGAAGUUAUCGAAAGACUUUUGAUACAUAGAGGAUUGACUUGCGUGGUAUCGAAGCAAACCUCAAAAGAAUGCAGUGCCUGCAAAUUAACAUACAAAACUCAUUUUAUCAAUAAUGGGGUCGGUGGUACAGCAGACGAAACACACCCUGAAAACAGCGAAAACAAAUGCCCAUAUAAAUAUAAUGGCAUUUUUAACGGUGCUUUUUGGGGCGCUGCUUUUAAAGAAAUAUUUGAAAAAGCCAAACAAAAAUGUCAACAGCAACAACAACUCUCGGCGAGGGAAACGCGAAGCUCGACUCUGUGCAGAUCCGAUUGCUGAAGCUGAAUCACAAAUUGGAAUUACAAUUACAGCAACUGACAUUUAAAAUGCAUGCAAGAAUUACCUGCGGCUGAGAAGUUUCUUUUCAAAAUAU